ACCAUCCGGCCAGCUGGGGGAACCUGGCUCUUCCUAAGUUCCACUACCCUACUGCCAUUGGUCCUUGGUGGCCUGGGGUCUUCCUGGGUGCCUAACCACCAAUCUCCCCCAUCUUGGCAAGAGAAUGUGCAUUAGUAAGGGAUAUUCCUCUGGCCUUGGUCUGAUUCGAACCUGUGAUAGCAUGUUGGCACACCCUGUAGCAGUCGCGCUUACACGGGCUCAUAACCUAUUAGGCCACUAGGGCAAAAGAGCUCAAUCACCACCAGCGCCAUGGUGGUAUAGAGGCAAUAGAUGUAUUUCCGGUAUUGACGCGGAAAAUGUUAAACUGACAAACUGAUUCCUCAACCCCAUACCCUGGAGCCCUCCGGCUCCCAAACACGCAGAUAUCUUUUUAUUUGAGUUGGACAGGAGAAACAGGGAUUACUAUCUAGGUGGCCCGGGACAUCUGCUAUUUGGGGAAUCACAAAUUCGACACAACGAUUUCAUAGUUUUAUUUGAGACAGGUGUAUCAAAUCUAUUUAACAGAAGUCCUUUCUCCGAUCUGAGCAUGACUACUUCUUCCUUGGCUUUUUGAAUUGCUCGGGUGGCUGCUCAGGCACCUGAGUGAAGGAGGUGGAUGGGGUGAUAUCUGCUGAACCGAUGAAGCUUGGUUGGCGGUCGUCAUCCUCAAAGGAUUCAGCAUUUGACCGCUGAGAGAACUGAAGUUCCGUCAUACGCCAAUACUAGACCAGGAGCCCAUCAUGCCCCCACACUCAUACUCUGCACACUCAUACUCUGCCUUGGGUCUUCAUAAGAUAGUUGCGCUCCAACAUGCAAGUUAUAUAUACUUGGGAAAAACUACAGCUGCAUUUUGCCCAAUUGCUUGGAGAGGAAAGGCAACUGCUCUGUCGAACACAAACUAGCGAGAUUUAAUUGUGGAGUCCGCAUGGAUGAUGUAUUUUAAUUACAUGAAACCUAUCGUGUGAGUGAGCAAGUGGUUAGAAACCCUGUUUACUCAGAUUGUUUAUCCUGAGA
rnacentral:sRNA from 2 species